AUGGAACUCCAGAAGCGGCUUCAUGAACAACUUAAGAUUCAAAGAGAGUUACAGAUUCAAAUUGAAAACUAAGGGAAGCGUCUUCAUAUGAUGUUUGAGAAACAGAUAGAGAAGGACAAGUCUUCUGCUUUGAUAUCAAAUACAGUGGCGGUGCUACCUUCUCCGGUAGAGAGUUGAUUUGUUUACUUGUGUUUCUAUUUUUAUAUGUGUUUCUGGGUGGUUUAUAGUGAAGAUGGAGAUGAAUAAGCUAUGAGAGAUGAGUGAGAC